rnacentral:lncRNA from 1 species
GCCGGCAGUGCAUCUUUCUGGACCACUUCGCCGCUCCUGUUUAUGCUGAAAGACCUCAGGAAUUGCUGCUUGAACUCUUCCAUGGCUUGGGCAAUAGCUUGCUUCUGCUCAUCCUUGAGGUUGGCCUCCGUCACGGGGAUGACGUUCUCUUGAUCGAGGUCAGAGAUCGACAUGUUGAUCUUGAUCUUGAAUCCUAUCCCACUGGGCGUGCCAAAAGAUGUGUUGAUGCAAAACGGAUCUGCAAACACAAAGGGCUAAUACCCGAUUCAAACGUUAAGGCGUGCCAGCCGAUUUGACCUUACUAUCGGCAAAGGUGAUAACUCGAAUACUUUAGUCCUGACAACAGCGAUGCGCCCGGAUGUCACGGCUAAGAGGUACUCACGC